rnacentral:rRNA from 1 species
GACGAACGCUGGCGGCGUGCCUAAUACAUGCAAGUAGAACGCACAGUUUAUACCGUAGCUUGCUACACCAUAAACUGUGAGUUGCGAACGGGUGAGUAACGCGUAGGUAACCUGCCUGGUAGCGGGGGAUAACUAUUGGAAACGAUAGCUAAUACCGCAUAAUAUUGAUUAUUGCAUGAUAAUUGAUUGAAAGAUGCUAUUGCAUCACUACCAGAUGGACCUGCGUUGUAUUAGCUAGUAGGUGAGGUAACGGCUCACCUAGGCGACGAUACAUAGCCGACCUGGGAGGGGGAUCGGCCACACUGGGACUGAGACACGGCCCAGACUCCUACGGGAGGCAGCAGUAGGGAAUCUUCGGCAAUGGACGAAAGUCUGACCGAGCAACGCCGCGUGAGUGAAGAAGGUUUUCGGAUCGUAAAGCUCUGUUGUAAGAGAAGAACGGGUGUGAGAGUGGAAAGUUCACACUGUGACGGUAUCUUACCAGAAAGGGACGGCUAACUACGUG